UUGAACCGCAUGGUUCAAGGAUGAAAGACGGUUUCGGCUGUCACUUACAGAUGGACCCGCGGCGCAUUAGCUAGUUGGUGAGGUAACGGCUCACCAAGGCGACGAUGCGUAGCCGACCUGAGAGGGUGAUCGGCCACACUGGGACUGAGACACGGCCCAGACUCCUACGGGAGGCAGCAGUAGGGAAUCUUCCGCAAUGGACGAAAGUCUGACGGAGCAACGCCGCGUGAGUGAUGAAGGUUUUCGGAUCGUAAAGCUCUGUUGUUAGGGAAGAACAAGUGCAAGAGUAACUGCUUGCACCUUGACGGUACCUAACCAGAAAGCCACGGCUAACUACGUGCCAGCAGCCGCGGUAAUACGUAGGUGGCAAGCGUUGUCCGGAAUUAUUGGGCGUAAAGGGCUCGCAGGCGGUUUCUUAAGUCUGAUGUGAAAGCCCCCGGCUCAACCGGGGAGGGUCAUUGGAAACUGGGAAACUUGAGUGCAGAAGAGGAGAGUGGAAUUCCACGUGUAGCGGUGAAAUGCGUAGAGAUGUGGAGGAACACCAGUGGCGAAGGCGACUCUCUGGUCUGUAACUGACGCUGAGGAGCGA
rnacentral:rRNA from 1 species